CAUAUUUUUCUAACUUUGUAUCUAAUGUUCUCUUAUUCUAUAAGAGAGGUCUCCGUCAACAUGGCUGCUUGUGCUAAGUGGAUAUCUUGGUCAUUUUACAUUACAUUCUCUUAAUCUAUAACAGAGAGUUAUCUCUAAGUGGAUUUCAAAUCACGAAAAAAUUUAGAAAUAUUCACCUCCCAAGUAAGCAGCCUUUUGGAAUUCCGUUUCAUUCCUAAAGAUCAGGUUUCCCAAAUUGCUUCUACUCGGUCUGCUGACUCAUACUCCUGAGAGAACGCCAUCUGCUGUUUUUGCUUUUGGGUAAACGGUGGGCAAUAUCAGAUAUUACUUUUCUUCCCCUACAAUUUUCAAUCAGUUUACACUCUGUUUGUUGUUUAGUUUCGCUCUGUUCUUAGGAUUUGUUUUCGCUACUCUUUUGAUCACUUCCAGAUUAGCUUGUUGUCUCGGCCAUGAGGCAAAAACAUUCUACUUCGUAAUAACACAAGUAUUAGGGAACUGGUAGAAUUGUAGCAUUUUGUACUCUUCGUUUUGAAACAUUUUGAAUCAAAUUGUAUAGAUUUCUUCCAGCUUUGUCUCAUGACUUGUAAACAAAAGUUUUUUUUUUAUGUUAAAUAAAACUUGGGCCCCGGCACAGCCCGGACUACAUCCAA